rnacentral:misc_RNA from 1 species
GUUUGCAAUUGCAAUGGAGCCUGGUUAUGUUGGGACAAAGUUGCUGUCAUUGAAAUUUUUGGAAACAUACAUAUUACUUUUUACAGAUGACACCAAUGAUUCUGACAAACUUGUUGCAGAAGGAAAUAGACAGUUAUUUAAUGUUUCAUGGCUAGUUGGUGGCCAUCCUGUUUUGGAUCCAGUUGCACUCAUGUCAGAUGCAGACAGGACUCUUGGCCUUCUAUUGGAUUUUUUGCAAUCACCCAGCAAUCUUCCUGGUUCUUUGACAAUUGUUGUAGUCAAUUG